rnacentral:rRNA from 1 species
UACGGGGGGAGCAAGCGUUGUUCGGAUUUAUUGGGCGUAAAGGGCGCGUAGGCGGCUUUUCAAGUGACGGGUGAAAUCCCUCGGCUUAACCGAGGAACUGCCUGUCAGACUGGAAGGCUUGAGACCGGGAGAGGUGAGUGGAAUUCCCAGUGUAGCGGUGAAAUGCGUAGAUAUUGGGAGGAACACCAGUGGCGAAGGCGGCUCACUGGUCCAUUACUGACGCUGAGGUGCGAAAGCGUGGGGAGCAAACAGG